ACAACUUUCAACAACGGAUCUCUUGGCUCUCGCAUCGAUGAAGAACGCAGCGAACUGCGAUAAGUAAUGUGAAUUGCAGAAUUCAGUGAAUCAUCGAAUUUUUGAACGCAUCUUGCGCUCCUUGGUAUUCCGAGGAGCAUGCCUGUUUGAGUGUCA
rnacentral:rRNA from 1 species